rnacentral:tRNA from 1 species
AUCUCAGUGGCGUAAUGGUUAACGCACGAGCACCGGUUAGGCGCGAGAUGCGGGUUCGAAUCCCGCCUCAGAUG